UUCUGACCGUAAACGAUGCCAACUAGCGAUCCGCCGGUGGUAAUUACGCCCCGGCGGGGAGCUUCCCGGAAACGAAAGUCUUCCGGUUCCGGGGGAAGUAUGGUUGCAAAGCUGAAACUUAAAGGAAUUGACGGAAGGGCACCACCAGGAGUGGAGCUUGCGGCUUAAUUUGACUCAACACGGGGAAACUCACCCGGCCCGGACACCGUAAGGAUUGACAGAUUGAGAGCUCUUUCUUGAUUCGGUGGUUGGUGGUGCAUGGCCGUUCUUAGUUGGUGGAGCGAUUUGUCUGGUUUAUUCCGAUAACGAACGAGACUCUGGCCUACUAACUAGUGACAGGAUUAUUGCUGUCCGGUUACUUCUUAGAGGACAAGGGUGUUCAGCCACACGAAAUUGAGCAAUAACAGGUCUGUGAUGCCCUUAGAUGUCCGGGGCUGCACGCGUGCUACACUGGAGGAAACAGCAUGCAAAACCAUUGCCGAGAGGCAUUGGUAAACCCGAGAAAAUCUUCCGUGAUCGGGAUC
rnacentral:rRNA from 1 species